rnacentral:rRNA from 1 species
UACGUAGGGUGCAAGCGUUGUCCGGAAUUAUUGGGCGUAAAGAGCUCGUAGGCGGUCUGUCACGUCGGCUGUGAAAACCCGGGGCUCAACCCCGGGCCUGCAGUCGAUACGGGCAGACUAGAGUGUGGUAGGGGAGACUGGAAUUCCUGGUGUAGCGGUGAAAUGCGCAGAUAUCAGGAGGAACACCGAUGGCGAAGGCAGGUCUCUGGGCCACUACUGACGCUGAGAAGCGAAAGCAUGGGGAGCGAACAGG